AACGCGAAGAACCUUACCUGGGUUUGACAUGCACUAGACGCGUUCAGAGAUGGGCGUUCCCUUGUGGCUGGUGUGCAGGUGGUGCAUGGCUGUCGUCAGCUCGUGUCGUGAGAUGUUGGGUUAAGUCCCGCAACGAGCGCAACCCUCGUUCCAUGUUGCCAGCGCGUAGUGGCGGGGACUCAUGGGAGACUGCCGGGGUCAACUCGGAGGAAGGUGGGGAUGACGUCAAGUCAUCAUGCCCCUUAUGUCCAGGGCUUCACACAUGCUACAAUGGCCUAUACAGAGGGCUGCGAGACCGUGAGGUGGAGCGAAUCCCUUAAAGUAGGUCUCAGUUCGGAUCGGAGUCUGCAACUUGACCCUCUGAAGUUGGAGUCGCUAGUAAUCGCAGAUCAGCAACGCUGCGGUGAAUACGUUCCCGGGUCUUGUACACACCG
rnacentral:rRNA from 1 species